GAGAAUGCGAUGAUGAGAACAAGUACUUCACAUCAACCUGGUGUAGAGAGUCGGUGGUAGGUGCGAACCGAUCCGGUAUGUGAGGGAAUCCAUCUCGGAGUGGCAAAGGAAUGAACUUUGCCCGGAACCGUCCCGUUAUGACGGAUGGAGUGGAUAGAUGCGCCAGGGUUGGGCAUGUAUCAACGAGGGUGGCAACGCGGGUACACAACACUCGUCCCUUAU
rnacentral:ncRNA from 1 species